CAGAUCAGAGUGUCCUGUGAGCUGAAGCUUGAAUCCACUAACUUCCAACAUCACCAAUGGCAAAUCUGAACAUGGCUGCCCACUAGCUGCACAAGGCCUCCUCAACUCAUGCAUGGACUCACCCAUGG